ACGUAGGGACCAAGCGUUGUUCGGAUUUACUGGGCGUAAAGAGCGCGUAGGCGGUCCAUUAAGUGUGAAGCUAAAUCUCCCGGCUUAACCGGGAAACUAUUUCGCAUACUGAUGGGCUGGAGUGAUGCAGAGGUGGAUAGAAUUCCCGGUGUAACGGUGAAAUGUGUUGAUAUCGGGAGGAAUACCCGUGGCGAAGGCGGUCCACUGGGCAUCAACUGACGCUGAGGCGCGAAAGCGUGGGUAGCAAACAGGA
rnacentral:rRNA from 1 species